UGGUGGAGUGAUUUGUCUGGUUAAUUCCGUUAACGAACGAGACCUCGGCCUACUAAAUAGUUGGACGAACUCUUCGGGGUUCGGCUGUCAACUUCUUAGAGGGACUAUCGGUGGUUAGCCGAUGGAAGUUCGAGGCAAUAACA
rnacentral:rRNA from 1 species